rnacentral:rRNA from 1 species
UACAGAGGUGGCAAGCGUUGUUCGGAAUUACUGGGCGUAAAGGGCUCGUAGGCGGCCAACUAAGUCGGAUGUGAAAUCCCCAGGCUCAACCUGGGAACUGCAUCCGAUACUGGAUGGCUUGAAUCCGGGAGAGGGAUGCAGAAUUCCAGGUGUAGCGGUGAAAUGCGUAGAUAUCUGGAGGAAUACCGGUGGCGAAGGCGAGAUCCUGGACCGGCAUUGACGCUGAGGAGCGAAAGCUAGGGGAGCAAACGGG